AUUUUUUUUCUUUUUUCUUUUUUGUUUGUUUGUUUGUUUUACUUUUAAUAACAUGCUAUUAUAAUCAUCAAAAUAUUAUGCAUGCCCUUCCCUUGAAUCGCUCACCCCAAGUCCCAACACGUUUUCCAUAAAACACUAAUUUAAAUUAAAUUCUAACUUCAUCAUCAACCAAGUGAUAUAUAUUUUAAAUUUAUGUUUAAUAAUUAUAAUAAAUUUAUUUAAUUUGAUAUAUUUUGUACAUCUCAUUUUAACGGUUGCCUUAACUCCUUUUUUUUUUGGUUAAUUAACUUUGAUUAAUCACCAACUGAAAUAUUUACAAAGCAAAGAGUUUCUAGUGUCUUUGGCCGUUCCUUACCACUGAAUCAUCAAUCAGUUUUAUUAAAUGGUUUAAUGUUAUUGGUUUGUCCAAACCUCUUGUUAGCUCCGCCCCCCGCCUACCGGAACCAAGAAAGCUAAACUCAGCUAUACUCUACAUAUACUAAGAUGUUUGGUCACGAAUUAUUUUCAUUUUUUCCUCAACUCCGAAAGACAUAUUUAAUCUUAAAAUUUUGAAAUUUAACUUCAAGUUAAAUUUUAAAACUUUCAAAAAAUUAAAAAAUAAAUUAUUCAAAAUAAACUCUAAUUUUUAAUAUUAUUUUUUACUUUAAAAAUAUUUUUUUUUUUCAAAUUUCACAAUUAAAAAGCAACUCAGCAAUCAAAGGCAAACUCGAUGGCAAAUAUGAUUUGAAUAUUCCAGUCAGCAUUUUGUCAACCAACUUAAGCCAUAUUUCACAGUCAUGUUACGUAUAUUCAUAAGCCAAUUUUGGAUUUAAAGACUUUAAGGUGUAUUAAUAUUACUUUUCAGCUACUUAAAAUAAAAAUGUUGAAAAAAGCUUUAGCUAGAUUCAAAACGUGAUCUCAUGAAUAAUUCCUUCAGGUUGUAUGAAUAACACAAGAACACUUACGUACUUUUUUUUGAAUGUAUGGUUAAUUAUAUUCUAAUUUCUCUCAAUUUUUUAAAAUAUAUACAUAAUUUUUUUUAGAAAUUAACAGUUGCACGUACACCUCCGGUAUGAAUCCGCCUCUCCGUAUACUCUCAUUUACACUUUUUAACAAUACCAUGAAUCUGCCCCCUGUUUCUUCAUAAUCCAAACACUAUAUAAAUCUUCUCAACUCCCUCCAUUUUUCUUACUCACAAAACAAAACAAUUUCUUCAUAAUCGUCUCUCCACGAGAAUUCUGAUUUAUAAAUAAUGGACUUCAAAAUCGGUGCAAUCGACACUUGCAAGCCCAUAAAUGGCGACAUAGCAAAUGUACCAACCAAUAAAGCCGUUACAAUCCAAAACUCCACCAUUCCAUUCAAUUCCCCUGACUCAACACUCGGCCGUCACCUCGCCCGCCGUUUAGUCCAAAUCGGAGUAACCGACGUUUUCUCCGUUCCCGGUGAUUUCAAUUUGACACUUCUCGAUCAUCUCAUUGCUGAACCUGAACUUAACCUUAUAGGUUGUUGUAAUGAGCUAAAUGCCGGUUAUGCAGCUGAUGGAUAUGCUAGGGCACGGGGAAUUGGGGCUUGUGUUGUUACCUUCACCGUCGGUGGAUUAAGUAUUGUUAAUGCAAUUGCUGGUGCUUAUAGUGAAAAUUUACCUUUGAUUUGUAUUGUUGGUGGACCUAAUUCGAAUGAUUAUGGAACUAAUAGAAUCCUUCAUCAUACUAUUGGGUUACAUGAUUUUAGUCAGGAGCUUCGUUGUUUUCAAACUGUUACUUGCUAUCAGGUAGGUUCAUCAAUUUUACUACUCCGAUGGCCUAAUUUAUGUGGCACUGUUGAAAUUUCGAGAUUUAAAUCGUAUGAACCUGUUGUUUGAUUUUGGAGUAUUUUUUUUGUGGGUUUUGCAGGCUGUGUUGAAUAAUUUAGACGAUGCUCAUGAGCUGAUUGAUACUGCAAUUUCCACAUCUUUGAAAGAGAGUAAGCCGGUUUAUAUUAGUGUAGGAUGUAAUUUGCCCGGGAUUCCACACCCUACGUUCAGUCGUGAGCCAGUUCCAUUUUCCCUCUCUCCAAGGUAAAAUAUUAUUUUCUACGUCUAUUCGGAGAAACUAUUUACGUCAAGUAGCUCAUGUUUUGAGCUUGUUACACUUUUAUAUACUCCAGACAUAAUGUUGUAAUAAUAUUGUAUAUUGGACACACAUAUUUUGAAAAUGUUCCCUAAAAUAUAUUCUUUGACCUUUGUUUAUAUUUUUUUAAAAAAAAUUCUGUUCUGAUUGUAGACUCUGUUUUCAUGAUGAAGUCGUUUAUAUGAGUUCGGUCCAAUCUAAUAAUUUUUGUUCAAAUAAGUUUAUUAAAAUAUCAAAAACUUUUAAGUUCAGAAACUAGUUAUUAACACUUGAAAUCGUCCUAUAAAAUUCAUCAGAAUCGUAAGGUUAAAAUUCUGGCUUCGCCUUUGUGUUUAAGUAUCCGAGUUUCUUUUUUUUUUUUUUUUUUUUUUUUUUUUUUUUUUUUUUUUUUUUUUUUUUUUUUUUUUUUUUUUUUUUUUUUUUUUUUGUGGUAUAGAUUAAGUAAUAUGAUAGGCUUGGAAGCAGCAGUGGAAGCAGCGGCUGAGUUCUUGAACAAAGCAGUAAAGCCAGUGCUUGUUGGAGGGCAAAAUAUGCGCGUUGCAAAGGCAUGUGAUGCUUUUGUUGAGCUGGCUGACAGCUGUGGUUAUGCGGUGGCAGUGAUGCCAGCCGCUAAAGGUUUGGUUCCGGAACACCAUCCACAUUUCUUAGGAACUUACUGGGGUGCAGUGAGCACGACCUUCUGUGCUGAAAUUGUUGAAUCUGCUGAUGCGUACUUGUUUGCUGGACCAAUUUUUAACGACUAUAGUUCUGUUGGUUAUUCUCUUCUUCUCAAGAAAGAGAAAGCGAUCAUUGUCCAGCCUGAUCGUGUGACAAUUGGGAACGGACCUGCAUUUGGUUGUGUUCUGAUGAGGGAUUUCCUUUCCGCAUUAGCAAAGAGAUUAAAGCAUAAUCCAACUUCUUAUGAGAAUUAUCAUAGGAUUUAUGUUCCUGAUGGACUUCCUCUCAAAUGUGAGCCUAAGGAGGCAUUAAGGGUUAACGUUCUAUUUCAGCACAUUCAGAAUAUGUUGACUGGUGAGAGUGCUGUGAUUGCUGAGACGGGGGACUCGUGGUUCAACUGUCAGAAGCUGAAAUUGCCACAAGGAUGUGGGUGAGAACAGAACAAAUUAAAUCUACGCAAAUUGCUGUCAUUUUGGUAUUUAUUUCCAUCAUCAUAACAAGUUUUGUUCUUCUUGAUUGUCGUUUUUAGGUAUGAGUUCCAAAUGCAGUAUGGAUCUAUUGGUUGGUCUGUUGGUGCAACUCUUGGUUAUGCACAAGCUGCACCAGAAAAACGGGUGAUUGCCUGCAUCGGUGAUGGUAGCUUUCAGGUAAUUGAAAAUAGAGGAGAAUGAAUUGUUGGCGUUCUCCGGUGUGUCUAAUCCAACUUUAUGGCAAAUGAAAUGUACUUGCAGGUGACUGCUCAAGAUAUUUCAACAAUGCUAAGGUGUGGGCAGAGGACCAUUAUCUUCUUGAUAAACAACGGUGGUUAUACAAUUGAAGUUGAGAUCCAUGAUGGACCUUACAAUGUGAUCAAGAAUUGGAACUACACAGGAUUAGUCGAUGCAAUCCAUAACGGAGAAGGAAAAUGUUGGACAACUAAGGUGAGUGGAAGUUCAAAUUUUCAAUCAUCGCCUUUGUUUUUUACUCUGAACCUUGAAUGAAAGGAUUUAAAUAUAUUGAACGUCUCGAUUGUAUGUAGGUUUAUUGUGAAGAGGAGUUGGUGGAAGCAAUUGAAACAGCAAAUGGAGCAAAGAAAGAUUGUUUGUGUUUCAUUGAAGUGAUUGUCCACAAAGAUGACACUAGCAAAGAGCUGCUUGAAUGGGGUUCUAGGGUCUCAGCAGCUAAUAGUCGUCCACCAAAUCCACAGUAAAAUCUCUACUUGUUCAAAGUUACUGCAAAAUAUUCUUGCAAUUUGGGAGUUGCCACUAUAUGCUGUAAUAUUUUUUUCCCAGUGAGGGGUUGUAUUCCACUAACAUGGAUGGUUGGUGUUGUAUUGUUAUUUUAAAUACGAUGUUUAUUUUCAUUAUUACUUAAAUUCUAUUGUAUCGUAUCGUUUAAAUUCAUCAUUAGGUAACGAUCAACUUGGUGUGAUCGUGUCGUUACCUUAAUAUUUUCCUCUCCUUUUGUCUUUAUUUAUUAUUUAAUAAUUAUAUUUUAUCUUUUAUCCUACAUUUUCAUAAUAGCUCUACCUUGCACCUCGUUUUUCUUGUAGGUUUAUCAUUCAAAUUGUGGAUGUGUGACAUUAUGUAAUGGUGGAAAACGAUACAAUUUAUCCAAAUAUUGUAUUCAUUUAAACAAUAUAAUACGAUACAACAAUAUACAAUACAUUAUGAAACAAUACAUAACAACCAUUCACUCAUACCAUUUUAUGCCUUAGCAUAAAUUAUUUAAUUUUUGAAAUUUUGGGACUGAUUUUCAUUUUUUGGAAUUUUUUUUAAUACGGGUGAAUUUUUUAAAAUCUACUGAUGAUUUUAGAAUUUUAGUUUUUUUUUUUCAAAAAAAAGAAAUUAAUGAUGAAGCUGAAAUUUGAGUUGAUUUCGUGAAGAAUGGAAGAUGUUGAAAAUUUGGGAGUUGUUUAUGUUCUUAAAAAAAGAAGCAAAAAGUGUACAUUUGAUCCAAAAACUCCAAUUGAAAAGUGUUAAACCUUGUUUGGGUGUAAAAAAUGGUUUAGCAAAACUGUAGUUAAAAAAAGGCAUGAAUGAACCUUUUCUUUAACAAUAAUGACAUAUAUGAGCCAAACUUUUAACAGAUGACAUAAAUAAGUUUUUUCUAAAAGUUUGAUGACAUAUUUGAUUUUUUUUCCCUUAAAAAAAUAUAAUACUAUUAUAUAUGAUUUUAGGAGGAAAACAUGGGUUCACGUGAACCCGGUGACCUCUUCUCGGAUACGUUGGCCUUUUGUCGACAAGCAAGAAUCUUGAAUAUUCUGUUCUCCAUGUUAGGGUGGGGGCUGCUAAUGGACUAGUAGAAGCCAACUAAACGAGGACACAUGUCAUAUUAAGGGUGCAUGUAAGACACGCGUAAGUCUUAGAGAAGAAAAUACCUUGACCUACAAGUCUAAAACCAUGAGGAGGUGUAGAUAUUUACUUUUUUUGCUGCCUCAACACUGCCACAAUUUAAUAUUUAAAAAUUAUAAGAAAUUAUUACACUUGUCAUAUAAAUAUGAUUAAUAUAUUAUCUAAAAAUGUUGAUCAGAGAUUCAUAUAAUUUGACUUUAUAAAAGAAGUAUUUUCUCGGUUCAUUUUUAAUUGUCACUGUUUAACUUGAUACAUUUAUUAAGAAAAUAAUUAUUGCUAUAGAUAUUUUAUCAAGCUAUCCUAUUAAAUGAUGUUUAGUACUUCUUCUGUCUCUAAUUACUUGUCUAAUUUUCUUUUUUUAGUUGUCUCUUUUUAUUUGUUCAUUUUGAUAAAUCAAGAAAAGACAAUUUUUUUUUACUUAUUAUAUCCUCAAUUAAUUAAUUUUGAAAAAACUACAACUUCUUGAAAAUUUUAAAUUAUUAAUUCAUCUACUUCAUAAUUAAUAAGGAUAAAAUGAUAAGCUCAUUAUGUCAAUCAUUAUUUUUUUAAUAGGUGUGUCAAUUCAAAAGUGGACAAAUAAUUGGGGACAGAGGGAGUACUACAUCUUAGAGAAUGAUUUGGAGAACAAAUAUUUAAUGCCGUGGGUAAAACAUGAAAAAAAAUAAUUAUUUUAUUUUUUCUUGAUAUGUCAAAAGUGAUAGCUUACGUAAUUUUAUGUCGGUUAAUAGUAGCUCCCACAGUCAGACUCCUCAGUGCAUUUAACCUGAUUUUCAGUUAUACAACAAUAUUCAGUCUCAGCAUGUUAUGUUAGAAAUCAGUACUUGGUUAUUGCAUUCAGUUCAAUUCAUUUCAGUAUAAUUCAAUAUUAUUGUUAUAAUUCAGAUUAUGUCAUUGCUUAGUUAUAUUUUCUUUAGCUUAUAUGUUUGUUCAAUAUUCUAUAUCCUGCAUGCUCAGUACAUUCCAAGUACUGACGCAUACUCUGCGCUACAUCCUUUCAUGAUGUAGGUUCAUGUCCUCAACAUUCAGAUCAUGCGUAGAUCGAUUUCCGAUCUAUACUCAGCAGCAUCAGUGGUGAGUCCUCAUACUUCGAGGACAAUAGACAUGUUUUCUAUUUCAGUCUUUCAUUUCGGUUUCAGUUUUGUUCCCCAGCUAACCCUAGUCAGUAGAGGCCUUUUCAGACAUAGUUUUAGAGUCAGCUUUAGCAUUUGAGUUAUUGUUCAGUAUCGCUAUCAGGGGUGGACCUAAGUGGAGCCUAGGGGGUUCACCCGAACCCCUCGUCGAAAAAUUACACUAUAUAUAUAAGGUAGACUUCUGAUUGUAAGCGUAUAGAUAGUAAAAUGAACCCCUUCAACAACCAAAAGAGGAGCGUGGCUCACUGGGAAGGAGGUUCAUUGCUAAAAUGCAUGUUUUGGGCUUAGAAUACCCAAUAAAAUGCCUCAUUAUUUUUGGAUUCAAUCUAAAAGUAUAUUAUUUUUAACUUUUCUUUUUAUGUUUUAUCUUUUUCUCAAUUUAUCUUUGUUUAAAUUUAUUAGCCACAUUUUUUAUAUUUUUGUCUUUUAUUCUUCUUAUUUAUAUUGCUCAUUUUAUUUCUACAUAACUCUCUUCUCAUGUACUAACUUAAAGAAACUCUUUGAGAAAAUGAUGAAUUGUUAUUAAAUUCAAAAUUGAAUUAGAAUACUAUUAAAUAAAAUAAAGUAAUUAAGAUUAAUUGAAUGAAAAACUUUAAAAGUUGUGAAUAUUCUUUUAAUAAAAUCUAUUUAAUUGAAUUCUUUCUUAAUGUUAUUGUAUCUUUUUAUAUUUUUGUCUUUUAUUCUUCUUAUUUAUAUUGCUCAUUUUAUUUCUACAUAACUCUCUUCUCAUGUACUAACUUAAAGAAACUCUUUGAGAAAAUGAUGAAUUGUUAUUAAAUUUAAAAUUGAAUUAGAAAAUUAUUAUAUAAAAUAAAGUAAAUUAAGAUUAAUCGAAUGGAAAAUUUUAAAAGUUGUGAAUAUUCUUUUAAUAAAAUUUAUUUAAUUGAAUUUUUUCUUAAUUUCACUGUAUCUCUUUCUUACUAUUUUCAAGUCGAUUCUAAAGAGAUUAAAACUAAACUAAACUUAUUUGAUUGGUUCAUAAUUUUUUUUAACAAAUGAUUAACCUAGUAAAUUGAAUUAAAUGAACUAAAAAAAAUCGAUGAUGUUAUUUAUUUAUCUUCAGAAUAUGCACUAUAGUAUUAGUAACUCGAUCUUUACACAUUUCUAAGGAAUCUUGAUGGUUUUUAAAGUAACAUAUGAUUAAAUGUGCACUAAUUCAAAAUUUAGAAAAAAAAUCUAAAAAGUAGAAUACUGCAAAAUAAAAGGAAAGGCACUAGAAAUUUUAAAAGCUCGAUGGACCAGGGUAAAAGUAAGAAGAACCUAAACAUAACAUAACAAUAUAAGUUAAAUUUAGCAAAUUAAAAUUAAAAUUUUCCUCCCAUGUCACUCGGUUUUACAUCUUGUAACUUUUACGUGUUUACUUCUUUGUACUUCGAACCCCCUCAACAAAAAUUCUGGAUCUGCCACUGAUCGCUGUACUCUUAUUCUGUAUUUAUAUAUUCAGACCAGUUUUGGGUAUUCCCCACUAUUAGUUGUAAAUUGAUUUAGCUUCCACAUUAGUUCGUGUUUUCAUAGAUAUAUUCAGUUUACUUAUGAUAUGCCAGCUCAGGAUUAGCUUGGGUUCACUCGUGAUCCUAGGUCCCGUGUUUACUUCAAGGAGAUAGCCUCGAGACGUGACAUGUGGAGUCUCCGAUGAUGGAGAUGCACAGUUUCCAGAAUCUAGUCAUUAACAACGACAACAUUGUUGGUCACAGUAACUUCAAGAUGAUAUUUGUAAAUUUUGACUUCAUAAAUUUUAGCUAUUUCUUGAAAAAAAAGAGUAUUUUUUGUAAAAUAAUUCAUUCAUGAAUUGACGGAUAUAUAUAACAAUUUAGAGACUUCAAACGAACUUCUCCAAAAGCUUCCUAAUUUUUUUUCCCUUAAACCGCGUUGCCAAGAUAUUAAUGAAAAGUUACCUAAAAUGUUAUAUUUACACGGGAUUAAUAUUUUAACUUAAUUUUGGAUAUGCAUUUAUAUUUUAAAAAAAUUAAACACUUUAUGUCAUAUAUACUAUUAAAAUGUUAUAUUUACACCCUCUAUGAGAAUAUAUCCCUAACUAAAUAUAUUAAAAGAUAAAAUUAUAAUUACAAAUAAAAUAUUCUUACAUAUUUAUUUAUUGUGAAAUAGGUAAAACAAAAAUAUAUCCAUGUCAUUGAUUAGCCAUUUAGUAGAAACUAUCUAAUUAUACAAACAAUUCUUCAUAUAGUUUGAAAUAAUUACAUUUUAUAUCAAUAGUUACUAAUUUCAUAUCAGAUUUCAAAUCAAAUACAACUAGAUACAUGCAUUUUGCUACCAUAUACACUGAAAUAGGGAGAGAGGCAAGCUAGAACAAAAGAGGAGGUGAGCAAGAUAUGCUUAUGUAUAUCAGAUAUAUGCGAAUCACACUAAAUACAUGUAUCUGAGAUGCCAGAAUCAUAGGAGAAUGACGAGCGAGAUUUAUCUAAGUAUCUCAAAUAUAUGUGAAUCCACUUAGAUACAAUGAAUAUAGAAUAAAUUACAUCUAAUUUUGCCCUCAUGUAUCCUGUAAUAUAUGUAUCUGAGUUCUAUUUUUUAAUUAAUAAGUAAAUUAAAAAAUGUUGAAACAAGAAUUCUAUGAGUCACUACCCUUAUUAGUAUAAAUAUAUAUUUGUCAUGCUUCUUUUCCUUCCACAGAUUCCUUAUUUACAUCUCAAUUUUUUUUAGUUAUUAUUGAAGAUUAUGUUUGUGCUUAUGAGUUUGAUGUUAUAUUUUUUUAUGCUUUCUAACAAUUAUUAUACAAUCAAUUCUUUUUACUAUUUUACUUUUUGCAUAUUCAUGUUUGAAUCGAAGAAAAAUUCAUGACUUUUGAUCGUAUUUGAGUUGAUCAAUGACGAUAUUCAACAUAUGUAUCAGUUUAUUUUUUAUUUUUUGUGCAUAAUAGAUAUAUAUACAAAGAAAGUCGAAUAAUAUACGUACCAUUUAAAUUUAUUAUUUGCAAUAUAAACAUUGUAUCAAGUACUUUGAGAUAAACAUGCAACGCUCUCCCAGAAACUAGUAAAUAUAAAAUGUUAUAAAGCAUUUUAAAAUAACACUCAUUCAUUAAAAGUAAGAAAAACGAAAAGGUAGGAUUUUAUAGAACUGAAAUUGUGAUGGGCUUGAAAAAUAAUUGGAAAAUGCGAUUUUUAAUAUGAGAAUUUUGAAUUCCAUGGCCAUCUCCAUGGUGGUAAAUGGAGUGACUAGCUCUUGCAGAAUUUACUGCACACAUCCAAUGAAUGUUUUAGAAAAUAAUGAAUUAUCCCCUUGAGCUGUACUAUUGAUCAAUUUCCAUGUCUCUUUUAUCAUGAAAUUGAUGUGUUUUCUUGCAUCUUCUUCAAAACCACCCUUCUCAUUCAUGUAACAUUGAAUCGACUUAGGAACGUCACCUCUUUUCAUUUCAUCCUGAAGUAAUUAAGAUCAGGAACAUAAUCAUCUCAAAUAUACUCUAACUAAUGUUAAUUAUAACUUUCAAUAACAAAUCAAUAUAUAAGCAUGCGUACUGAGGAUGUCCCCAAAUCAUCGUUUAAACGAAUAAUAGUAGCAGACCAUCGAAUAAUAUCAGAACAAUUGGUUAAGGAAUCCAAGACCUCUUUGGUAAUUGGAUUUGUGACAAGGAACAAUGAGUGGACUAAUAUCAUAGGGGCUGCAAUAGUGAUUAAUCCACUAUCCAUGUAUUCUUCUAGACUUGGCUUAUAUCCACAGUAGUACCAUCUUGCUUCUCGUAAGUACGAUUUACACAAAUCUGCCCACUAAUUUAAUAGAAAAAUAUCUCAAAUAUUUAGAAAUGGGAAAAGGGUAAAAAAAUGCCCUUAAACUAUGUGAAAGGAACAAAAAUGUCCCCCGUUUAUAGUUUGGUUCAAAAAUGCCAUUGCAGUCGAUACUUUGGUCCAGAAAUGCCCCUAUAGUUACAAAAUGAGUCAAAAAUGUCAUUUUCCGAAUAAAUGUAUUACUUUUUUCUUUUUAAACACAUAUUCUUCCUGAUUAAAAUACUAUUAAAGAACACUAUUCUUGUCUUUUUUCUUCUAAAAUCACUUUAACAAAUAAAAAUGUAGGAAAUAUGUUUUUUCUUCUUAAUCUCUUUUUAUCAAUUAAAAUAGAAUAACUUCAUGUACCCUUUCAAUAGAUAAUAUAUGUCAUAUAUAUAAGAUCAUAGUAUAUCCAUCAUUAAUUUAUAUUUAUAUAACGAUAAAAAAAUAAUGAUAAUAAAAUAAGAAAUAUUUUCAUUUUUUAUUUUUUUCUGAAUUGAAGUAAGAUAAAAAUUUGCUAAUUCAAAAAAACAUUAUUAGAAAAAGAAUAUGUUUAAAAGAAAAUAAUAAUAUAUUUAUUUGGAAAAUGAGCAUUUUUGACCCAUUAAAUAACAAUAAGGGGAUUUUUAGAUCAAAGUAUUGACGACAAGGGCAUUUUUGGACCAAACGACAAACGGAGGGCAUUUUUGUUCCUUUCGCAUAGUUUAAGGGCAUUUUUGAACCAAAAUAUUGACGGUAAGGACAUUUUUUAACAAAACUAUAAACGGAGGGCAUUUUUGUUUCUUUCACAUAGUUUAAGGACAUUUAUAAUCCUUUUCCCUUUAGAAAUUAAAACAGGGGAAUCCAAAUAUAUAUAUAGAGAGAGCUAAGUAUUUUUACUGAUUUUGUAAGGUAGGGCAUGGCGUUGAUCCCUUGUUCUUUGAGAACUUCGUAUGCAAUUUCAGUGGUUGUGUUGAAGAGUGCAAGGUAACAUAUUUUCAUAUAAUCUGGAAGUUCGUUCAUUGCUUUUAUCUCCAUUCUGAAUGUAAUCAGAAAACUUUUUAGCAAUUCAUGUAUUGUUUAUAAGAGAAAAAUCUAAUUUGUAAAGGUUAGAAUUAAGUUACAGACCUUUCAACAGCAUGAGUGAAGAGUUCCAACUCAUCAAGAGUGCUGUAAACAUCAUACAUGUCAUCUAUAACUGUUGCCAUAGCAGUGACCUUUGUCAACAUUAUUCGACAGUAUUCGUUCUUUUGAGGUUCAAACAUCAUGCCAGCUAUCCAUAAGAAAGCCUCCACAAGUCUAUCCCUUGAAAAUGGCAAUUUUUCUGCAAGCAAUGACUUCUUCCACCACCUUAAUUUCAUGAAAAAUAAUGUUUCAGAUGUAGGAAACUUAUUGAUUGAUGCCUCAGAUCUCGAUUACUAAGCGUAUGGACAUGAAUUAUGGUGAUAUAUAUUUCUAAUAAUCUGAUACUCUGUGAUUUUCCCUAAGAGUUGCUACCUUUUUUUACUCACCUCGAUAGAUUUCUUAGAUCUUGUUGGUGUGUUGCUUGAACAAUGUUGAAAUCCAACUUAGCAAACUCGAGCAGGAGAGGAUCAACAUUUGGGAUUUUCUCAUAAAUUUUAAUGUACCACCUUGUCUCUACUCUCAACAUCUUGCAAUGCAAAGGAAGUUCCAGAGCAUGACGCACUAGUUCCACUGUCCCAUUCUCUUGAUGUUCAGUAUCAUUUAAAUUGUGCAAAUAGUUUUUUAGAUGGGACACUGUGAAUAUAUUGGCUGACUCCAAUAAAGUAGAGGUUUCAGAAUCCGUAGACAGAAAUGAAGCUUCAUAUAAUUGUAACAACCCUUUUGUAUCUUCACAAAGACUUUGUUUGAAGUUACCCUGCUCAUCUUUGAAAUCAUUCAAUAUAUCUACGGGGAAAAAAUGAGUAGAAAUCUUAUUGGUCGGAACAUAUAUAUAAAAAUGACAAAACGAAGAAAUUAGGAAAAAAAUAGAGAGCACCUUGAGAGAUAUGAAAACCAUGUUGUCUGAAGAGCCUAAACUUCAAUGCUGUAGAGUAUAAUGAAUUAUCUCCUGUGGUUGUACUACUAUUUUGGUUAUGUACACUUCUCAAUACUUCCAUAAUUUCAUCCUUAAAGUGGUAACUUACUCCUAGCCUUUGUAAAUUAUCAAUCAACUCCAACUUAGCAUCUAAUUGAUCUUGUAUUGAUCCCUCAACCAUAACCAUCAAAUUCUUUUUCAUUUCCUUCUUUAGUUCGUUACAACGCUUCAUAUACUUAUCUCCCUACACAACACACAUUUACAAAUUAUAUUUUGAAUGAUAGAAUAACGCACACGAAUAAUAUGAUAUAAAGAAAAUGUAGGUAUGUACCGCGUAAGGAUUGUAUAGGGUGUGAAUAAAUUGAAAAUCCCAGAUGGGAGGCUGGUAAUUCCCUGAACGCCUAAUGGGAUUAGAUGAAUGAUUAAGAAGUCGUGGUUCAGCUUUCAUGCCAGUGCCACCGUCACCGUCACCGUCACCGGUGGUUGAAAGGGAGGCUAGUGAUGAUGAUGGGAUGAAUAAAGAGGAAAAUUUAGGUAGAGAUUUUCUUGAGAUGGCCAUAGGUAUUAGCCUCCCCAAGUUGGCCAUCAAUAUUGCCACCAUUUUGUUGGUUUAUUCACUUUAAUGUGUGGACAGAUUAAUUUUUCUGAGCUCCAACAAGUAACUAUAAAUGGAUCAUUCCUCCCCAGAGUUGCUUGUCACACUACAUCAAAAAUGAUCUUUAGUGACAAUUAAUUAACGGUAAUAACUGAAUUAAAUUACCGCUAAAGAUGUAUUUUUAGUGGCAAUUAACACUCUUUGUAUAUGUCCCUGAAACUUUUAGCGACAUUAGAUCUAAUGGCACAUAACUAAUGCCAGUAAAACUUUAGCACUCUUUUUUUUUGGUUGUAGAGUCAGCAGCCUAUUGGAGGUAGAUAUGGUAAAAUGUUACUAAAUGCAGGGCUUAAUACAUAACUAACCCCUUAAAUUUGUCACAAUAUUUCAUUAAGACAAUCAAACUAAGUUAUUUUAAAAAAAAAUCAUCCACAUAGGCUUUCACAUCCAUGGUGAUGACGGAUUUGGCAUAGAUCCCUACCAUGCUAAUUAUAUAGACAAAACUACAAUGGAGGGGAACAAGAGCCAAUACUUCUAUGAGCAUUUCAAUUGAACAUUUCAACAGCUAAUUAUAAAAUAUUCUAAUUUGACAUUUUCAAUUCAAAUUUUAAAUAUUUUAGACGUUACUGAAUAUUGCCACCAUUUUAUUAAUUAUGUGCUUCCAUGCGUUUGUAAGUACGAGGGAUGAUUUUGGAUAUUUAAUUUGGCUUAUAAUGUAUCAUUUUUUUUAAUGUGUAAUGGGAGUAGAUGAUGGUCCAUCUAAUGCUUAGAUAAUUCAUUCAUUAGGGACCAUGUCAUCAUAAAAAACAAUGACUAAGUUAGAUCUUCAAGUUUGAAACUAUAAUGGAAAUAAAAAUCAUAUUAUUGAAGUUUCUUUUGACAUAAUUCAUCUUCAAGAUUUGUUCCACAAGAAUAUAGGUUUGGUUUUCUUAGAAAAUGUUAGUGUUAGGCAUUUGAUUUUUGAGAAUUAGAAAACACAAAUAUAGGGUGUGUUUGGUAUGAAGGAAAACAUUUUCCGGUUUUCUCAUGUUUGGUGGGGUUAAAUGUUUUGGAAAAUGUUUUACAAAUCAACUCAUUUUCCUCAAAUUUAAGGAAAAUGACUUCCCUUCAAAACUUAAGGAAAACAUUUUCCAAAACUAUUUUCCAAUUUCAAAUUACAAUUAUUUUGUCUCUACCCUCUAACCACCCCCACUCCCCCCCCCCCNNNNNNNNNNNNNNNNNNNNNNNNNNNNNNNNNNNNNNNNNNNNNNNNNNNNNNNNNNNNNNNNNNNNNNNNNNNNNNNNNNNNNNNNNNNNNNNNNNNNNNNNNNNNNNNNNNNNNNNNNNNNNNNNNNNNNNNNNNNNNNNNNNNNNNNNNNNNNNNNNNNNNNNNNNNNNNNNNNNNNNNNNNNNNNNNNNNNNNNNNNNNNNNNNNNNNNNNNNNNNNNNNNNNNNNNNNNNNNNNNNNNNNNNNNNNNNNNNNNNNNNNNNNNNNNNNNNNNNNNNNNNNNNNNNNNNNNNNNNNNNNNNNNNNNNNNNNNNNNNNNNNNNNNNNNNNNNNNNNNNNNNNNNNNNNNNNNNNNNNNNNNNNNNNNNNNNNNNNNNNNNNNNNNNNNNNNNNNNNNNNNNNNNNNNNNNNNNNNNNNNNNNNNNNNNNNNNNNNNNNNNNNNNNNNNNNNNNNNNNNNNNNNNNNNNNNNNNNNNNNNNNNNNNNNNNNNNNNNNNNNNNNNNNNNNNNNNNNNNNNNNNNNNNNNNNNNNNNNNNNNNNNNNNNNNNNNNNNNNNNNNNNNNNNNNNNNNNNNNNNNNNNNNNNNNNNNNNNNNNNNNNNNNNNNNNNNNNNNNNNNNNNNNNNNNNNNNNNNNNNNNNNNNNNNNNNNNNNNNNNNNNNNNNNNNNNNNNNNNNNNNNNNNNNNNNNNNNNNNNNNNNNNNNNNNNNNNNNNNNNCCCCCCCCCCAAAAAAAUAAAUAAAUUUAAGUUUGUUUUUAAAAAAUAUUUUCAACUUCAAAAUUUUAUUUUUUCACCCCAACCCUUGAACCCCCCACCCCAAAAAAAAUUUAAGUUUGUUUUCAAAAAUUAUUUUCUACUCUAGUAAAAAUAAAAGAUAUUUCUCAAAAAUAUUUUUCAUUCAUAAAUCAAACACUAAAAAUCUUUUCCGGAAAAUAUUUUCUACUCACCAACCAAACAUGAAAAAAUAUGUCAAAAAUCAACUUGUUUUCCAGGAAAACAUUUUUUAGGAAAACAUUUUCCUUCAUACCAAACACACCCAUAGUUUAUUGUCUUUUGGCCAUUAUUUAGGAUUUAUUUUAAUGAGAGUUUCUGAGGCCUUGCAAUUUUCUGAUGUAAGGUAGUUGCUAAGUCCUCAAAAUGCCAAAUAUUCAAUGUUUCUAAGUCAUUUGUGCAACGUUUUUUUUACAGGGUAUCAUCUUCUUUAUAGACUGUUUGGCAGGAAAAAAACAGCAAAAGUCAAUUCAGUUUAUCAUAAUUGAUUAGUUAACAAGUUGAUUAUACAUAGUCUAAAAUAGGGAAAAAGUUAUUGGUUUAUCAAAUUAACAAUAGUGCCAACAUAAAUUAGAAGUGUUUUAUAGGGUAUCUAAACUUAUUGUUGAGUUUAAUUGAAGGCUGAAGGUCUGAAGCUAUUGAAUCAUAGAAACUUAAUAAUAAGGAUAUAACAGUGUCGAGAAAACCUAUGCUAAGGCAUAAAAUGGUACUCCACCGUACAUCUUACUUGUCCACUGUAUUAAAAAUAGUUGUCCAAUAAUACUUAUCUAAUUUGAAAAAUCAAGAGAUAAUUUAAUAUAUUCAAAAGGUAAUCUAGUAAUAUUACUCUGGCUAUUUGUUGUUUCUUCAGAUAUGUGUCAAGUCGAUAGUGAACAAGGUUUUAUUAACAAGUCAUCCAUUCAUCCACCCUUUUAACCCAUGAAGGCUAAUUAACACACAACUAUUGCUUCUGCCUGAGAAUCAACUAUCUUAUUGGUCACAUCUAGCACCCCUCUAGGCUCCAGGCCAGCAGUCCCAAGCCGAGGACUCAAUCAUCGAUCGAUCUAACUCUGAUACUGAUGUCAUAGACCAAACAAGAGAGUCCAACCCAAAAACUAGUCUAUUAGGUAAGAGAUCCCAUUAGCUAUAAUUUGGCUGAAAAAAAGGACACUAGUAAGAAAGUCACCAAGAAGUUAAGAAAAUUAAUGGAAAUUGUUCACAUAAACUACCCAACAGCCUAAACUAUUUUCCAAAUUUGUGUAAAUAUAUAUAUGCUGCCAGCAACUUCAAACAGCUCAACACAGUGUCUAAACUCCGUGAUUUGCAUCUUUACCUUCUGAGAAAACUAAACGACCAUUUUGCAGCAAAAAUGCAGGAAAGGGUGCUUGACAAGAACUGGUAUGUGCUUUAAGACGAGGAAUGUUUGGAUGUGCACUUCGACAUCGAUGACACCUUAGCUCCAUAGAAAGGAUAUUCUCGUCCUUCAAAAUGGCCUUCCCAUUUUGACUAACUUCAUCUAUUACAUCAACCGAAUCCCGGAAGAAGGGGGAGUUGAAUGAGUUCCAAUGCUUCUUAUUCUUAAGAUGAUUGGAAUCAAAGUCUUGGCUUAUCACAUGAAGAUGCAGUUGACGCAUUGAAGGAACCUACAUGGAAGAAACUUCAUUAAAUUAAGCAGUAGGAGAUGUAGAAGAAAAAUGACUUCAGCAUUUUGACUCGAUGUGAGGGAAGAGAUCAAGAAGAGAAACAAAUGAUUAGGGUUGAACAAAGGAGGGAUCAGGUCAAUGACAGACCUAGUAUUUUUGACACCUAGCAUAAAUAUAUACAUGAAAAGAUACUAAAAUUUCAAUAAAAAUUUAGUUUCAAACCGGGAAAAUGCAUAAGUACCCCCCUAGCCUAUACCCAAAAUCUCUGAGACACACCUAACCUUUACUAAGGUCCUAUUACCUCCCUAAACUUAUUUUUUUAUUAAUUUUCUACCCCUUUUCGGCCUACGUGGCACUAUCCUUGAAAAAAAUGUCAACACGCGUUGGGCCCACAAGAUAGUGCCACGUAGGCUGAAAAGGGGUAAAAAAUUAUAUAUAAAAUAAGUUCAGGGGGGUAAUAGGACCUUAGUAAAGGUUAGGUGUGUCUUAGGGAUUUCGGGCAUAGGCUGGGGGGGUACUUAUGCAUUUUCCCCAAUAUAUUCAAAGGCGGAAUGGAUUCAUAGGUAAGAGUUUAAAGGUUGAACUCAUUGAAUUUAAAUCCUGAAUCCUCCUUUGGAUCUGCAGGAAGCUUGUUGGCAUGGCUUGAGUAAAGAACUAGGAGUAAGAAUCCCUAGUAAAAAGUCCAACACCCAAAACAUGCCCAUGUAUGUAACAUACCAACCAAUAUAAACAAAAACUAGUUCUAUUUACUCAACUUUGUCAUUUGUAAUAUGUUGACCUGGCCUUUGUUAUAUGAUGACCACCAUUAGAUGCAUACCAAAACCACCUCAUUUCAUUUAAUUUACCAGUUUCUCUAGCGGACUGGUGCCUGGUGAACUUCUCAUCCACGCAAAGCUUAACAAAUUUUGCAAAUAUCUUUAUAAUAGAGAUAAUGUAAUGAUAAGUUACAGAACACCCGAGAGAACAACCCACCUCCCAAAAAAAUAGAAAAAGAAAAAGAGAAGGUUGAGGAUAAAACCAAAAAGAAAAAAAUAAGAGAGAAAUAUCAAAAACACCCCUAAACUUGGCGCAAAUUAUUACUUUCAUCCCCAAACUAUUGACAACCUUAAAUAGAAUCCCCAGGAAAGUGUAAGCACCUGUAUACAAUUUCGAUUUUUCUUUCUAUAUGUAGAUAUGGCUUUCUGGAUAUUAUUAGAAAUGCCCAAAAAAAAAUCAUAUUCGUAAAGCAGAAACAUAAACGCACUCCUAUGAACGUGGAAAAUAUACCGGAUUCAAUGGAAUAUACCAAGCUAAAUCGAAUCGCUCGAAAGCACGGGAUGGGCCUUCCCUUCCUUUACGUCAUCCACCACCCUGUCCUAUCCACUCUCCCAAAAUCUCAACUCGUAAUUUGAAGAAACACUCCUCUACUUGACUAACUAAACUUAGAUACACCCCCGAUACACUCCCGAUAUGCAACACGACAUAGCAAGUGGUCUCAAACUCUUGUAGGAGCAUAAGUUCUUAAUAAAAAUCAAGAGAAGUGUUGAAAACACCCCUAAACUUGACGAGAAUUUAGGGCUGUAUUUCACUAAUGUUUCAAGAUCGAGAGUGUAUUUAGCUUUAAUUAGUCAAGUAAAGGGGUGUUUUUAAGGCUGUCAAUAGUACAUGGAUGAACCUAAUAAUUUGCGCCAAGUUUAGGGAUGUUUUUGAUACUUCUCUCAAGAAUAAAUAAAUAAAUAAAUAAGGGGGCACUCUUAUGUACUUCCUUUCAUAUCUCUUAAUGACUCUUAAAACACAUAAUAUUUGGAGAUGGUUCAACGUACCGAAUGAUAUCCAAGGCGGAAUGUCAAUGAAUUGUUUUCAGAUAGAAGCUUUUCUGCCCACUUCAGGCCAACACUGUGCAUUGUCUUUAAUAAAGUGAGGUGCUCCUUCUUAGCAUCUUCAAGACGGUCAAGACCUUCAACACGUGCCAACACUAAGAGGUGUUUCUGAGCCUGCACGAGAAAAUAAACCAUACAUGUAUUUUUCAAAUUCACAAGGGAGAAGGGCCAAAAAGCAGGGUGAGGGAGAGAGGAGGAUAACCUUUGGAUAAAGAUCAUUCAGUACUACAACAUCAUCUGACAUCUCUAUUAUAUUCUUAUGCCUCUCAGGAUGCAUUGCAGUGUCAUAAAGAGCCUGAGCCCAUGAGCCCCAUGCCUUUCUUGACUGUCCACCAGUGUUUCCAUCAUCAGAACUUCCAACAUUGGGUCCGAGUUCUUUCACAAAGCUUUUAAACUUCUUGUUCAUGUCUGUUUCACAGACAGCUUCACGCUUGGCUUUCUGAUCACCACUUCUAGAACCUUGCUCUAGUUGAACUUCUCCUUUAAAUUCUUUUUCAAACUUAUCCUUACAUGGCUCUUCUUGAGUCCUAACUAUAGAUGCAAAACCAUCAAAGAGUGAUGAGUAAGCUUCUCGGAGUAUUUUACAGCCCUUGACGUAGUCAUUGUCGAGACAGUUUGGUCUUUGGGGAUUCAUAUUUGGUCCAAGUACAUGUAUGACAUGAGUAACUCCUUCCCCACUAAACAAGGGAGAAAAGGAAGGAAGAGGGACAACAAUAGCUUUUCCAGAACUAAGGGAUUCAGCUUUAGCUUUGGUUGCAGUUUCAAGGGUGGGACCCGCGGCACUAAAUAUAGCAGCAUUUACGCCUCCACCUCCUGGUUUUAGUCGCCUGAACAAAGUUGGCUUUUAGAUGGCACACAAAAAGUUAACAACACAUAAUAUCCUUACAAUAUAACACUUAAGGUGAAAACACAGAAAGAAUGUGUAGACAGAAUAUUGUAUUACAACGAGUGGUGAGAUUACAAUUGAUUUGUAUCAAGGACCUGCUGGACAUUGUACAAAAAAUGAGAUAUCUGCAAGAUAUUCUAGCACCCUGCUAUUUUAAUGGAUUGCAUGCACACAACUGAUCAUCAAAACCACGUGUGUGUACCAAAUUGACUCAUGAAUCAUGAAAGUAAAUUUCUGCUGGAUAUAUAAAUCCCCAUAUUGCACCUCUGGCAAAAGAAGGUUAUUUCAGGCACAAGGCUACACAUUGUUCCAUUUGUUUAACAUGCCAUCAACCAACCUUAAAACUGUUUAUCGUUUGAAAAAUAGCACUUUAUCUCAUUGAAAUUUUUGGCAUACUUCCUUUUGCAUCCAAACUUAUAGGUAAAAUUUGGAGCCUCCUGAAAAGAUGGUGUACAAAUGAAUUUAAUGUACUACCACUUGAUCUCCCUCACAACUUUCUGGUCACUAAACAAAAUCUCAACAGCAGAACAUUCAAACAGAAAGAAAAAGGGAAGUUUCUGGUAAGCCUUUUGCAUUAUUAUAUCAAGUUUCUCAUUUUCACUAGCACAGUAUCAUGGCG
rnacentral:lncRNA from 1 species